AAAGCGACGCAGCGACGCUGCGACGUCGCAGCGACGUCGCAGCGACGUCGCAGCGACGUCGCUGCGUCGCUUU